rnacentral:rRNA from 1 species
AGCUCCAGUAGCGUAUAUUAAAAUUGCUGCAGUUAAAGCGUCCGUAGUUGAAUUUUGUCCAAUCAGGUGAGAUGUGUGAAUAGUAAUAUUCAACGCGCUCUCCAUUUUGGAUUAUGGGAGUUCAAUUUACUCCGGUAUGCUGUUCUCUCUCGUUACUGUGAGCAAAUUGGAGUGCUCCAACCAAGCCGACGCUUGUACAGCUCAGCAUGGAAUAACAAGAUAGGGCUUUGGUUCUUCUUGCUGGUGUCAUGAACCAAUAGUAAUGGUUGAUAAGGACAUACGGGGGCAUUUGUACUUGCUGGAGAGAGGUGAAAUUCUAAGACCCAGCAAAGACAAACAAGUGCGAAAGCAUUUGCCCAGUCUGUACCUA